rnacentral:sRNA from 1 species
UAGCGAUUGAAGUGGAAAUCCUUUUAACGCAGCGCAGCGUAGGUAAAAGAUUGCAGCGUAAAGCGCGGUGGCGG